UACGUAGGGCGCAAGCGUUGUCCGGAAUUAUUGGGCGUAAAGAGCUCGUAGGCGGCCAGUUGCGUCCGCUGUGAAAUCCCGGGGCUUAACCCCGGGCGUGCAGUGGAUACGGGCUGGCUGGAGGCAGGCAGGGGAGAACGGAAUUCCUUGUGUAGCGGUGAAAUGCGCAGAUAUCAGGAGGAACACCGGUGGCGAAGGCGGUUCUCUGGGCCUGUACUGACGCUGAGGAGCGAAAGCGUGGGGAGCGAACAGG
rnacentral:rRNA from 1 species